rnacentral:rRNA from 1 species
UGCCAGCCGCCGCGGUAAUACGGAAGGUCCAAGCGUUAAUCGGAAUUACUGGGCGUGAAGCGCGCGUAGGUGGUUUAUUAAGUUGGAUGUGAAAUCCCCGGGCUCAACCUGGGAACUGCAUCCAAAACUGAUUCACUAGAGUACGAUAGAGGAUAGUGGAAUUUCAAGUGUAGCGGUGAAAUGCGUAGAUAUUUGAAGGAACACCAAUGGCGAAGGCAGCUAUCUGGAAUAAUACUGACACUGAGGUACGAAGGCGUGGGGAGCAAACAGGAUUAGAUA